rnacentral:rRNA from 1 species
GAUGAACGCUGGCGGCGUGCCUAAUACAUGCAAGUCGAGCGAACGGACGAGAAGCUUGCUUCUCUGAUGUUAGCGGCGGACGGGUGAGUAACACGUGGAUAACCUACCUAUAAGACUGGGAUAACUUCGGGAAACCGGAGCUAAUACCGGAUAAUAUUUUGAACCGCAUGGUUCAAAAGUGAAAGACGGUCUUGCUGUCACUUAUAGAUGGAUCCGCGCUGCAUUAGCUAGUUGGUAAGGUAACGGCUUACCAAGGCAACGAUGCAUAGCCGACCUGAGAGGGUGAUCGGCCACACUGGAACUGAGACACGGUCCAGACUCCUACGGGAGGCAGCAGUAGGGAAUCUUCCGCAAUGGGCGAAAGCCUGACGGAGCAACGCCGCGUGAGUGAUGAAGGUCUUCGGAUCGUAAAACUCUGUUAUUAGGGAAGAACAUAUGUGUAAGUAACUGUGCACAUCUUGACGGUACCUAAUCAGAAAGCCACGGCUAACUACGUGCCAGCAGCCGCGGUAAUACGUAGGUGGCAAGCGUUAUCGGAAAUAUUGGGCGUNAAGCGCGCGUAGGCGGUUUUUUAGUCUGAUGUGAAAGCCCACGGCUCAACCGUGGAGGGUCAUUGGAAACUGGAAAACUUGAGUGCAGAAGAGGAAAGUGGAAUUCCAUGUGUAGCGGUGAAAUGCGCAGAGAUAUGGAGGAACACCAGUGGCGAAGGCGACUUUCUGGUCUGUAACUGACGCUGAUGUGCGAAAGCGUGGGGAUCAAACAGGAUUAGAUACCCUGGUAGUCCACGCCGUAAACGAUGAGUGCUAAGUGUUAGGGGGUUUCCGCCCCUUAGUGCUGCAGCUAACGCAUUAAGCACUCCGCCUGGGGAGUACGACCGCAAGGUUGAAACUCAAAGGAAUUGACGGGGACCCGCACAAGCGGUGGAGCAUGUGGUUUAAUUCGAAGCAACGCGAAGAACCUUACCAAAUCUUGACAUCCUUUGACAACUCUAGAGAUAGAGCCUUCCCCUUCGGGGGACAAAGUGACAGGUGGUGCAUGGUUGUCGUCAGCUCGUGUCGUGAGAUGUUGGGUUAAGUCCCGCAACGAGCGCAACCCUUAAGCUUAGUUGCCAUCAUUAAGUUGGGCACUCUAAGUUGACUGCCGGUGACAAACCGGAGGAAGGUGGGGAUGACGUCAAAUCAUCAUGCCCCUUAUGAUUUGGGCUACACACGUGCUACAAUGGACAAUACAAAGGGCAGCGAAACCGCGAGGUCAAGCAAAUCCCAUAAAGUUGUUCUCAGUUCGGAUUGUAGUCUGCAACUCGACUACAUGAAGCUGGAAUCGCUAGUAAUCGUAGAUCAGCAUGCUACGGUGAAUACGUUCCCGGGUCU